rnacentral:rRNA from 1 species
CCUACGGGAGGCAGCAGUAGGGAAUCUUCCACAAUGGACGAAAGUCUGAUGGAGCAACGCCGCGUGAGUGAAGAAGGGUUUCGGCUCGUAAAGCUCUGUUGGUAGUGAAGAAAGAUAGAGGUAGUAACUGGCCUUUAUUUGACGGUAAUUACUUAGAAAGUCACGGCUAACUACGUGACAGCAGCCGCGGUAAUACGUAGGUGGCAAGCGUUGUCCGGAUUUAUUGGGCGUAAAGCGAGUGCAGGCGGUUCAAUAAGUCUGAUGUGAAAGCCUUCGGCUCAACCGGAGAAUUGCAUCAGAUACUGUUGAACUGGAGUGCAGAAGAGGAGGGUGGAACUCCAUGUGUAGCGGUGGAAUGCGUAGAGAUAUGGAAGAACACCAGUGGCGAAGGCGGCUCUCUGGUCUGCAACUGACGCUGAGGCUCGAAAGCAUGGGUAGCGAACAGGAUUAGAUACCCUUGUAGUC